rnacentral:rRNA from 1 species
UACGGAGGAUCCAAGCGUUAUCCGGAUUUAUUGGGUUUAAAGGGUGCGUAGGCGGCCUAUUAAGUCAGGGGUGAAAGACGGUAGCUUAACUAUCGCAGUGCCAUUGAUACUGAUGGGCUUGAAUGUACUUGAGGUAGGCGGAAUGUGACAAGUAGCGGUGAAAUGCAUAGAUAUGUCACAGAACACCAAUUGCGAAGGCAGCUUACUAAAGUAUGAUUGACGCUGAGGCACGAAAGCGUGGGGAUCAAACAGG